ACGUAGUUAGCCGACGCUUAUUCCUGUGCUACCGUCAUUAUCGUCACACAGAAAAGGGCUUUACGAGCCGAAACCCUUCUUCACCCACGCGGCGUCGCUGCGUCAGGCUUUCGCCCAUUGCGCGAUAUCCCUC
rnacentral:rRNA from 1 species